rnacentral:rRNA from 1 species
AUAUUAAUAUAAAUAAAGUCAUAAAUAUAUUAGCAUGGGAUAAUAAAUAAAAAUAAAAAAUAAUAAAUUUAUUAAUAAUUUUAAAUUGGUUUUAUAAUAAAAAUAAAUUUAUAAAGAUUUAAUAGGGAUAGUUGGGGUGAUUCAUAUUUAAUUGUCAGAGGUGAAAUUCUUGGAUUUCUGAAAGAUGAACUUCUGCGAAAGCAUUUCACAAGGAUGUUUUCAUUAAUCAAGAACGAAAGUUGGGGGAUCGAAGACGAUCAGAUACCGUCGUAGUCUCAACUAUAAACUAUACCAACCAUGGAUUAAAUAAUGUUUUAUUAAUUAUUUUAAUUAUUAAUUAAUUUUAAUAAUUUUAAUAAAUAAUUAAUUAUUAUAUAAACUCCUUUAGAACAUUGAAGAGAAAUCAUAAGUGUUUAGGUUUCGGG